rnacentral:lncRNA from 1 species
GAGGAAAAAAUGGACAAUAAAGCUCAACUGAUAGCAAAAACAUUUAUUUCUGUUUGAUUUAAUAAUUCAUAAAUGACUUUUAAUUGUGAAAAAACCUCAUGCUACAAGAGAAAUCAGUGGCACUGAAGGAUAGCACAGAAGUUGAAAUUGUGGAUGAGAAAAUGAGAAAAAGGGUAGAACCAGAAAAAUGGCCAAUCCCAGGCCCUCCUCCACGAAUUGUGCCACAAACAGAUUUGUCUCAACUGAUUGAUUGUCCAGAGUUCGUACCAGGCCAAGCCUUUUGCUCACAAUCAGGCUAGUGAAGUCAGUCAAGUUGGUGAUGCCUGUCCAUUAACCAUUUAUGUCUUAUUAAUAAAAUUACAUUAAAAUUAUGUUUUGUACAUUUGUGUUUUUUUAACAUACACAGAUGCAUACAAAUACUAUUAUAUACAUAAACAAGUUAGUGCAUAG